UCGGAUUAUUAUACACACCAUCAAAAUAUUUAGCUUAAAAACAUUUGAUUACUCAUCAGUUUUAGUGUGGUUGCAUGUUUGAAGUUCAUAAAAGUAAUGGUAAUUUUGGCGGAUCAUAACUGAGGAGAUGGACCUAAUAGCUGAGACAUACAUUGCUGCUCAUUAUUGUGGUACAAGUCAGCCCAGUUAGAAACUCUAUGCCUAAUUAUAGAAGUUCAAGAGGGAAAGUCGUCUGUCUCAGUGAUGCAAAUAUGCACUCAGGGUUAAAUGUUGCGUGAAAUGUUGCUGUAAAAUGUGCUACAAUCACCCCAGAUGAGGCCAGGGUCAAACAGUUUGGACUUAAAACUUGGAGAAGUCCCAAUGGCACAAUUAAGGAAUAGACGCAUUCUCAUUUAUUGAUUUCAACAACUGUUUUUUUAUCCCCAAACCUUUUAUUUUCUAUCAUUACUUUUUAUUUCUAUUCAGUUCCAGAAAAUGGGGAGACAUGAAGAGAGCUUGAGGUUUAAGACUUCAAAGGAUCAGGCAUAGCACUUACAAUUGAUAAUGUGGAUGAGCUUUCAUUCUCUGCAUCCAACUUGCGCAACCGAGAUAUAUUCUCUAAG